rnacentral:rRNA from 1 species
GACGAACGCUGGCGGCGUGCCUAAUACAUGCAAGUUGAGCGGUGGCGGAUUGUGCGUGUGCCAAUUGGAGGGGCAGCGGACGGGUGAGUAAGGCGUGGGGAGUCUUCCUUUGAGCGGGGGGGAACAUUGGGAGACGACUGCUAAUACCGCAUAAUAACUUUAAACAGAGGUUGUAAGUUUUAAAGGUGCAAUUGCAUCACGCAAAGAUGAUCCGGCGUUGUAUUAGCUAGUUGGGGAGGUAAAGGCUCACCAGGGCGUUGAUACAUAGCCGCCCUGAGAGGUUGAUCGGCCCCAUUGGAACUGAGCCACGGCCCAAACUCCUCCGGGAGGCACCAGUGGGGAAUUUUGGACAAUGGCCGAAAGCCUGACCCAGCAAGCCCGCGUGGGUGAAGAAGGUCUCCGGGUGGUAAACCCCUUUUGUUGGGAAAGAAAGUCGGCAGGGUAGGAAACCGCUCAACUGACGGUAACCAACCAAGAAGGGCCGGCUAACUUCGUG